rnacentral:hammerhead_ribozyme from 1 species
AUCUGACGAGUCCCAAAUAGGACGAAACGCGCGUCAU